rnacentral:piRNA from 1 species
UUCAAAAAAGUGAUCACUUCC